CGAACGCUGGCGGCGUGCCUAAUACAUGCAAGUUGAGCGCUGAAGGUUGGUACUUGUACCGACUGGAUGAGCAGCGAACGGGUGAGUAACGCGUGGGGAAUCUGCCUUUGAGCGGGGGACAACAUUUGGAAACGAAUGCUAAUACCGCAUAAAAACUUUAAACACAAGUUUUAAGUUUGAAAGAUGCAAUUGCAUCACUCAAAGAUGAUCCCGCGUUGUAUUAGCUAGUUGGUGAGGUAAAGGCUCACCAAGGCGAUGAUACAUAGCCGACCUGAGAGGGUGAUCGGCCACAUUGGGACUGAGACACGGCCCAAACUCCUACGGGAGGCAGCAGGAGGGAAUCUUCGGCAAUGGACGAAAGUCUGACCGAGCAACGCCGCGUGAGUGAAGAAGGGUUUCGGAUCGUAAAACUCUGUUGGUAGAGAAGAACGUUGGUGAGAGUGGAAAGCUCAUCAAGUGACGGUAACUACCCAGAAAGGGACGGCUAACUACGUG
rnacentral:rRNA from 1 species